AUCAUGCUUUGUUUUUUAUCAGCACUCAAGGUCACCAUACAGCAACAACAUAUUGAAUUUCUAGCAGACGCGCGAUAAGCCCCGAAAUAUUGAGCACAAGCCCAGGCCAGCGUUGAAGCUUUUGAAAUACUAUUAACACAAUGGUUUUCAAUUAUUCAUGAAUACAUUUUAUGCUGUCCACAGUGGGUUAAUUACUCGAAAACGCCUCACGCAAUUGCAAUAUGCAAGAGAAUGCUGCUGCUCAAUUGGCUGGCAAGGUUCAACAAACUGUUUCAGUGCAAAUACUUAUAAAUAAAUAUGCGGCGCUCUCCAACUGCAUGAUCGAGAAAGAGAGAGACAGAGAGAGAGAACUACUGCUCUCCCCACCCACUGACUCCACCAGUUUACCCACUGUAGUGCAGCAGACAAGCCUUCCAUAGAUUAAAACACACACACACACACACAUUUACUUUCCAGCAUAGGCCAGGCCAGUUCACUGCCAGACUAAAGAAUCACUGGAACAAUCUGCUUAGCUGCCUGAGCCCGCAAUAAUAUGCAGCCGCAGCGCCUUAUCUGGAACUUACCUGGAUAUUCGAAGCGUCAAACACUACCCUCAUUUUGAUCGUUGUCAGCAUACCGGACAAACUGCAGCGAAUCCGCGCUCAGUUGCAAAGUUGGAAAUUAAACAAAACACAAGUCCGCGGCAUUUGUUUUUUAGUUAUAACUUGGCCAAUAAUCACCCGUUAGUGCAACUUUUUACUCGUAUUGAUGCUAGAAACAAACUUACAU